rnacentral:rRNA from 1 species
CCUACGGGGUGCAGCAGUGGGGAAUAUUGGACAAUGGGCGAAAGCCUGAUCCAGCCAUGCCGCGUGUGUGAAGAAGGCCUUCGGGUUGUAAAGCACUUUCAGUGGGGAAGAAAGCCUUGGGGCUAAUACCCUCGAGGAAGGACAUCACCCACAGAAGAAGCACCGGCUAACUCCGUGCCAGCAGCCGCGGUAAUACGGAGGGUGCGAGCGUUAAUCGGAAUUACUGGGCGUAAAGCGCGCGUAGGCGGUCUGAUAAGCCGGUUGUGAAAGCCCCGGGCUCAACCUGGGAACGGCAUCCGGAACUGUCAGGCUAGAGUGCAGGAGAGGAAGGGAGAAUUCCCGGUGUAGCGGUGAAAUGCGUAGAGAUCGGGAGGAAUACCAGUGGCGAAGGCGGCCUUCUGGACUGACACUGACGCUGAGGUGCGAAAGCGUGGGUAGCAAACAGGAUUAGAUACCCCGGUAGUC